AUGUUGGAACAUGGAGUGGGAUGGAGAGGGGUUUUCUUCCUGUUCUCCAUUCCUGGACAAGCUGGAACUGGUGUUUGCCUAUCUGGAGCUGUCCCAGGCUCCAUCCACCAUUCCAACCCCAUCCUCAGUAACCUCCUGAUUCCCCUCCUUCAGGGGAAUUUUAACUCCUGUCCUCUGCUGCUGGGUAGAUCCUUGAGCUGGGAAGGACGUGAGACAGAGGGAAAGGAACAGAGGGAAAGGAACGGCCCUGUCCUGCCCCUUCCCCAGCUGAAAACCACUGCAGAAUUCCAGGAAAGCAUUAAAAAGACUGGGUCUGUUCCCAAGCUUUGGCUGGCAAAUGGGACAUGGAGCUGGAUUCUCCAGCUGUGGGAAGGUUCCUCAGGAAACAGAGCCUGGGAGUGCAGAGAGAGGAGGAGGAAGAUGAGGAAGAGGAGGAGGAGCAUCCACAGCACAUCCCCUGUCUCCCAGAUUUCCACUCUUAUCUUUCUGCAUGCAAAGGUAGGAACAGCCUACCCACAGGAGCCAAUCCCAGGUGCUGCCCCUGCUCCUGGUGCCCAUCCCCACCCGGAGUACCCCCGGACCGUGCAGUGCCA
rnacentral:lncRNA from 1 species